AUAAGGUAUUAGAGGUAGAUAUGUACAUGAAGGCAGGGUAAAGUGACUAGACAUCAGGAUAGAUAAUAAUAAGGUAUUAGAGGUAGAUAUGUACAUGAAGGCAGGGUAAAGUGACUAGGCAUCAGGAUAGAUAAUAAUAAGGUAUUAGAGGUAGAUAUGUACAUGAAGGCAGGGUAAAGUGACUAGUCAUCAGGAUAGAUAAUAAUAAGGUAUUAGAGGUAGAUAUGUACAUGAAGGCAGGGUAAAGUGACUAGUCAUCAGGAUAGAUAAUAAUAAGGUAUUAGAGGUAGAUAUGUACAUGAAGGCAGGGUAAAGUGACUAGUCAUCAGGAUAGAUAAUAAUAAGGUAUUAGAGGUAGAUAUGUACAUGAAGGCAGGGUAAAGUGACAUCAGGAUAGAUAAUAAUAAGGUAUUAGAGGUAGAUAUGUACAUGAAGGCAGGGUAAAGUGACAUCAGGAUAGAUAAUAAUAAGGUAUUAGAGGUAGAUAUGUACAUGAAGGCAGGGUAAAGUGACUAGUCAUCAGGAUAGAUAAUAAUAAGGUAUUAGAGGUAGAUAUGUACAUGAAGGCAGGGUAAAGUGACAUCAGGAUAGAUAAUAAUAAGGUAUUUGAGGUAGAUAUGUACAUGAAGGCAGGGUAAAGUGACUAGACAUCAGGAUAGAUAAUAAUAAG